UGGGAUUCCAAAUGUCGCAUGAUUUGUGGGAUCCCAAAGUUUAUGAGUUACAAAUGUAAAGUUUCAUGGAGAAGAACUUCUAUCAGGAGAAGAACCACGUAUAAGUUUCAAAGAAAAUGGCAAAGCAGUGACUGAACCUGUGAUCCAUUGUUAUACAUGUUAUGAUAGUGAUUACUAUAACAGUAAAACCAGGCCAUCUUCUGAAUACUCAGAAUGUCCAGAUAAAAAAUGGAAUGAUUGUUCAAAAGAAAAACACAAGAUUCUUUGUAAACCCGAUGACUUGACAGAUGAGCGUUUUUGCCGAUGUGGUGCAAGGAAUGGUUACUCUCCCGUCAAUGACCUUAGUAAUGAAAAAUGCAGUUUUAAAGACUAUGACUGUAGAGAUUAUAAAAAUUGUUCUGAUCUUCCAAGUGGUAAACCACAACAGUUACUUUUAAGGAAGUUGUGCUGUUAGAUAAAUACCAUACAUCACCGAUGUAGCUGUAUGCCUGUGAUGACAGUGUUUGAAGAAAUCUACUUCAGAGUAUGUGACAAAUCACACCAGGCUAUGUCAGACGUGCAUCAAAGCUCUGUUUGCUAUGAGAAUGAAAAGAGGGCGGUUAGGCCCUGCAGCAGUAAAUUUCAUUCUGCUGCUGCAGCUGUGGAAUUAGACCAGUACACAAUUGAAGUGCCAAAAGUAAUAAUCUUUGACAAUGCAGUUGAGGUAGAAAGACUCCGUCUACAAUUGGUCAAUGAAGUUGAAUAUUGCUGCAUUUGUAGUCUGGCUUUCCAUGUAUAUACACUCAGAUAUGCUUGUUUACAGGUGCUUGAUGUACCUGUUGAAAAGCAUGUAGAGAAAACAGUGGAAAGAAGCAAACAUUUCUUAAUGUCACAGUACAUUGUGGAGGCAAUCAACGACACAAACAAUAUUGUUUAUGUAUUAACAGAAAGACAUGUUCCAUCAGUAAGAGCUCUAAAAUUGUUAGAUAAUAAUAAAAGCUUUUACUGUGAUCUUCUGAAUAAUUGGGUUCAAUCAACUGAAGAAAAAAGAAAAAAGAAGACAAAAUUGCAAGAGGAACACAUUAGCAUUAAUGAUAUUUUUAAAGCUGUGUCUGCUCUACACAGAAAUACAAAAAACCAAGAUGCUAAUCAGAAUUCAAGUUCCUUCAAAGGAUUGAAUCAAGGUUCUGAGAUUGUGAUUACAAGAAAUAGAGACAUCCAUAAUCAGAGCCCAAUAACACUUUGCUUCACAGUGUUAGAUAACCUGAUCCUAUUAAACAAGGCUUUAGAAGAGCAGUUAGGUAACAAUAAUGAAGGAAAGAAGAGUAAUAUAUCAGUGUACAUGCCUACUUACUCACCAGCUAAUGAUGGCUCUAUUCAGGAUACAGAAACAGACCAGUUUGUAGAAAAUGAAGAUGAAGAAGGUUCAGAGUCUAAAUCAGAUGAUGCUAUAAAUGCAUAUAACUACUUUUGUGCAGCUAAAAUCGUAGAAAACAUAAAAGGUGACAAUGAACAUUUGGAAACAUCUGACCUGUCGUUGUGGGACUUUGCCGGACAGAAUGUGUAUUAUGCAACCCAUCAGGUUUUUUUGUCUCGACGAGCAGUCUAUCUGCUAGUGAUGGAUAUUUCCGAGCACAUUGAUGAUCCCUGGCUUACUGAUUGCAGAGGAGAGGCAAAGUGCAGAAGUGCUGAAUACAUUGACUUCUGGUUGAAUUCUAAACAUGAGUAUUGUAGUUAUGAAGGAAAAAGUGGACCUCCUAUAAUUUUGGUUGGCACUUUUGCAGAUCAGUUAAAAGAGGACAUCUCUCCAGAUGAUGCUUGGAGUUCGUUGAGAGAAAUCCUUGUUGACAAGGCAGCAAGUUGUCAUUUGACCACAGAGAACUGUUUAAUAGACAACUCUGUUGAAGAUGAGAAUAUUCAGUCCCUAAAGAAACAUAUAAUCUAUAAAGCUUCCAAACCGGCCUACUGGGGAGAGGAUAUUGAAGCGAUGUGGGUCACAUUCGAAGAUGUUCUGAUAAGAAUCAAGGAGGAAAACCUAAAGGAGCAGAGUUGUAAGAAUACUGAUAAAGACAAGGAGGAUGAAGAAACCUAUAAAAGGUAUAAGGUGUUCCAUCUUCAAGAAAGUUCAGCCUGUAUGACCUGUAUGACUGACCAAAUGUGUUGCAAAACAGAUCUCUCUAAAGCAUUUAACUUUAAGAAGACUACAGAUUGUUCAACAGACAUCUCUGUGUGGGAUUUUGGUGGUCAGCAUAUCUUUUAUUCCACUCAUCAGAUGUUUCUUAGUCUUGGGGCAGGCUUCUAUCCAGUCAUUAGAGACCAUGAAGAAAAACACAUUAAAGAUUUGUCUUUAUUAUUAUUAGUCUCAAAUAACGUUCUGCCAGAUGCAAUACUCUUAGAAGUUAUCCUUGCACAGGGACAAAGACCUUGGAAAGAAAAAUGGCCACAGUUAGAAAGGAAAACGAUGCCUAUGAUCUUGAUCAUGUUAGCUGCUGCGUUUGGAAGAUCUACUUACAACUUCAUGCAAAAUGAAGAAAAAGAAACCAAAUGUUCAAUGUAUAAGUAUAUUAGUGCAGUCUCUAAUACUAGGCUGUGCUUUCAUGCCAUUGGUAGUACCAGUGCUGGUAAAACAUCUUUAUUCCUGACAUUAAACAGGCUUGAUGUACUAACUGAAUUAUACAAGAUGCCCUUGCAAACUGAAUCAGCCAAGAAGGUGUUGCUAACUGAAUCAGACUUUAGGCUAUUUCAGUUUAUGACUUCAGAAGAUUCUGAUCUGGCUCUUGUAACACCUGUAAGGACAUUCUUAUAUGAGCUAAAGCAAAUUAAACUUCAUUUAGAAAUGAUGGAAUCAAGAGUUGUGAAUAUUUGCAAUCCAUUCAAGAUUUCUCAGUCAGAAAUUUUGAUCAAGCUUUCACCUUUCAAUCUAAACAAGCAGAGUCUUGAAGUUGAUCAGAUAGAUACACUUAUUUUCAAUGAAAAUAUGCCAUUGAUUCGCAUAUCACAAGGGGAGGACUCUGAAAAAAGUGGUACCAAAAGGAAAUCAUUCUUCCAGAAGGUAAUUGUUAAAAGGAAAAGAAUUUUUGGCAUAACAGAAAAGAAGUUUUCUGAAAUAUCACUCCUAAGACAGAAAAAGAUAACAACAGUUGCAAAGUUCUUAUUAGAGCUUUUUACAUUGUUGAGAGGAAAAGAUUAUAAAGAAAUUAAUCUAAAUGAAUACAUCAUAACUGAUGCAUACAAAGAAGGCACCACUAAAGAGGAUCUUACUGAACUUGAACUCUGUCAACGUGAAACAUCCAAAUCGGUUCACAAUGACAUUACAGUGCAUGAAGUUGGUACAACAAGAUCCGCAAAAAUGUCACCAAUAAAAGAUAUGAAAAUUAAUCAAAUGUCAUGGAAAAAAAGAAAACCGUUUGGUGGUGAUGAACAUAUCAUUACAUUAACAGGCAUGGACGAAGUUGUUUGUGAAAUACCUGAAGUUACAUUUAAAAGACCAGGUAAUAGCCUGCCAUUCAAUGAUGUCGUUGAAUCACAAGAACUAAGUAAAUUAGAUAGUCUUGAACAUAAAAACACAAGUGGUGUUGAAAACAUGACAGCACUUGACCGUGUCAAUGAAAUGAAAGCAAAAUUAAAAUAUCGACACAUAAGAAUGGAAGUUUACCCAGACAGACAGGCAAAUCAGUCUUAUACUUCCUCUGUUAAUGAAACAACAGAUGAUGAAAAUGAUGGAGAAUUUCAGGACUUGAAAUAUAAAGUGGUGUGUGGGUCAAAUGUUCCAAAAGCUGAUGGAAAAUGUGAUGAAUCAACAUUCAAAAGGUUAACGAAAAGUCUUGCUUCUGAAUCGCACGAGAAUGAUCUAUUAGAAGUCCUCAGAAGUGUAACAUGGCUUACUUCAGAAGAAAUGCCUUCACCAAGGAUUGAUCAGGUUUUCCUCGAAACAAGUGUCUACUUUGUUACUGAAUUUGAACCUUUGAUGGUCAUUAUUAACCUGAUUGCAGAUGGUAACCCUCCAACACCACAUGUAUCAAUGAGGUAUGAACUAUUAAGGUUCUGCACUUUGAGAAGUUAUCCGAAGGAAAACAAACCAUACCUGAUCAAGCUAGCAGAAGCAGGAUUCUAUUAUGCCUCAGAUGGCGAUGGUGUCGUCUGCUACUGCUGUGGUGUCAGGCGUUACAACUGGGUGGCAGAAGAUAAUCCAAUGAAAAUUCACCAGAGGAUAAAUCCAAACUGUAAAUUCCUGAGAAAAAAUGAUGAAGUCAAUGUUCCAGUCCAGUACUUUGGGCCAUUCAGCAGGGCCUUGAUGGCUAUCAUGGAUAUACCAGAACCAAGGGAAAGACCAGAACAGAGUGAAGAUGUAAACAAUGACUGGGCACCAGAAAGAGCUCCAGAAAGAAGUCCAGCUCCUGCACAGCAAAAUAGAACUAAUGAAGCUGCAUCAAAUUCUCUUGGCAUAAGUACUGCAAUACCCAAACACACCCAGUAUGCUACAAAGACAGCCAGAGAAGGUAGCUACAGCGGAUGGCCUGAUACAGCAAGUCAUACCCCACAGGACCUUGCAGAGGCUGGUUUCUUUUAUGCAGGAUUUGGGGAUUGUGUCCGCUGCUUUUACUGUGGCAUAGGUUUACGUCACUGGACCAAAGAUGAUAAUCCAUGGAUAGAGCAUGCCCGCUGGUCUCGUAACUGUGUGUUUGUAAAACAGAAGAAAGGGGAGGAGUUUGUCAACCUCGUCCAACUUGCUGUUCAGUACUCCCAAGACAAUGAAGCUCAGUCCAACAGUAGUGCAGGGAACCAGUUACCAGCACAAGAAGUAGAGAGAAUUUUGCUCUCAGAUGCUGCACAGAGUGUGUUAGAGAUGGGGUACCAGCCUAGAAUUAUAAAGAAGGCUAUAGAACAGAUAUUACGAAAAAAUGGUAAUGCAAAGAUCACAGCUCAGUUCUUGAUGGAGAAGGUAUUAGAGAUCGAAGAAGCAGAGAAUCCACCACAAGCUACAGCAGCUCCUACCCAAGCACAUGACCCUCCUGAAGCAGCUGCUGCACAGCCACCAGCGAAACCUCCACCUCAGACAACUAAACCUGAAGCUGCAAAAGCUCCAGAGGGUGCUACUGUUCAAUCUAAUACAGAAAAGACAAAAGACCAAGACAAAAAAGGGAAAGCUUCAAUCGAAAACAAAGCAGCAUCACAGGAUCCUAAAGCAAUCAAAGCAGAGAAUGAGCAAUUGAAGGAGCAGACACUGUGUAAAGUUUGCCUGGAUAAUACAGUCUGCAUUGUAUUUCUGCCAUGCGGCCAUCUUGUAACAUGUGCUGAUUGUGCGCCAGCAAUGAGGAAAUGUCCAAUAUGUCGAGCUCUUGUCAAAGGCACAGUUAGAACAUACAUGUCCUAAAUCUCUGGUUGUAUAAUGUAACAUUUGCUCAACUGCUAAGUCUAACAUUUACAGAUGAUAUUUACAUAUAAACAAAAUCAGACAUAGGCACAGUAAUAAAAGAACAUUAAAAAGAAAUGUACAUUGAUUUGUAGUAAUGCAAUGUGAAAAUACUUUACAUAGUUCAGAUACUUCCUUGUGCAGCACUUCAAAAUGUACAUGAUACUUCGGUAUGCAGAUACAUUACACUGCAUGGAUGUAAUAUACUUUGAGAUUAGUAUUACUAUUAGUUAAACUAGCAAUUCAUUAUACAUACUUUGUGUACAUAUUGUUUAAAGUACAGCUAUUGUACUUGUUUUUUACUGUACAUAUGUUUACUUUGUGUACAUAUUGUUUAAAGUACAGCCAUAUGGUCCCUUUCAGUUCUUCAUGAAGAGGAAGGUAAUUUGUAAAUAUAUUGAGUUAUUUAUUUUAUUUCUGAUCCUUCAUUGUUUGUACUUAUUGAUGUUUAUCAGUAAUAUAUGUAUAUAACUGCCUGUGCAAACAAAUUUCAAGAUACUAUAGAUUUGAGAUUCCAUUACAUAUUAUUCUGUAGGUGUUCUUCAUUUUAUUUAUUUUUUUAUUAUUAUUUUUUGUUAUGCCAAAUGAUUUCACUGUCUUGACUUGGCAUGGCUGACUCUUAAAAUUUUGUUAAAUUAUAAGUGUGACCUCUGACACCAUUUUAAGGAAUGUCAUGCAAAACAGAAUUGAAGUUAAAAUUUGAUGAAAGAAAUAGAAUUUUUUUUCUGUUUUCUGGUAUCUAUUUCAUUUUUAAAAGAUUUAUUUUAGAAACAAAUAGCUGUCAAAUAUGCAAAGUGAAAGACGACAGAAUACCAUACAGGUCUGCAAAACAGAAUAUUUGAAAAAUAUUCAAAUUGUUUCCAAAUUUUCAUUUGUAUUGUAAUUCCAUUAAACUAUGGAGAGUAAGAUGGAUCUGUAAUGCACAUGAAAGCAUGAUACAUACCAUGUAAAUUUAUAUGCAAUGCGCGAGUACGGUGACCAUUAAAUUAUUGUUUUUUGGUUUAUGACUGACUUACUCUUAGGUAAAUAAGAAUUAAUAAAUACUGUUUAUUAAAGGAAUACCAGGUGAUAAAACUUACUGUUUUUCACUGUUUUUAGUGGUAGUACACAUACUCAGACUCUACAUACACAAUUUAUUUGUAUAGUUAGUAACUUAAGAUACAUUUGAUGAGGAUUUUCUAGGUCUGAAGUCAGUCAGUGAUUUAGUGACUGAUUGGCAUUGGAUAUCUUUAAAAAGGGAACAUUUUUUGUCUUGUUAAGUCAGUGGAAUACAAUUGUUUUAUUCUAUAUCUAUUUUAUUUAUCCAAUCAUGAACAUUUAUUUGCAACACAUGACCAUACAAUAUAUUACUGUAUUGGACGCAUAUGCGUACAAAAAAAACCUGUAUUUUUUCGUAUUUGGACGGUUCAGCAGUCCCAUGUAAAACAUGCGAUAAAGCUCGAAACGCGUGAAAAUGUUCCGAAUGUAAAUCUGGUGAAGUAGGCGCUCUAUGUACAGAGUUUGCUUAUGCGUCUUGAAAUCAGGAUUACAGAAAGGGCAGAAAUACAAUAUUCAGUGAAUCAUUUUUAAUUAAAACUAAAAUAAAAUAGAUAUAGAAUAAAAAUGUUAUUUAACAUUGUACUGUACAAUACGAGAUAUAUUUGGACUCGUACCCAGCAUUGGACUCGCCUAAUGGCUCGUGCAAUAUAGUUUUCUCAGCUGGGUACUCGUCCAAAUAUAUCUCUGUAUUGUACAGAACAAUGUUAAACUUUGAUGAAUAUAAUAUGUAUACAUACUGAAGCAUAGCUGGGAUAUAACCCCAAUUUAUAUACAAAAAAAAAUGUCGUUUUUCUUUAGUGCUUAAUUCAUUACAGUUUCAUCAUACAAAUACCAAACUCAUUUUGUAUAUAAAUCCAGAUAUUUUGCUAUGUGCAGUUUUACUGUGUGUCAGACACUUUAGCUGACCUCAUUCUGAUGAUUACAAUAAAUUUUGGUAAAUCUGAGAUUUCUUGUAAGGGAUGGCAUUCAUUCAUACAAGAAAGUUUUUAAAAUAAUGGAAAACGUACAACUUACUGAAAACAUUAACAUGACAUGCCUACACUGAAAACAUUAACAUGACAUGCCUACAUUUGUUUGUUAAAAACAAUAUUUCUUGCAAAAUGGAAAGGUAUUUCCAGUUUGAAGCACUUUUCCCCAUUAGAAGAAUUGGAUGUGUGGCCUUCCUGUGCCACCAGGUCUCUCGGAAUAUUUAGAUAACUACCAGUAACUGUUGUCAUUGUGUUUUAUGUGAUAUUGUUAUUAACCAUAGUUAUGUUUAGAGAAAUUCAAAGCUAUUCUGGCUUAUCAUCUUUUUUUAUGAACACCAUGUAGAUAGAAGGGAUUAUCAAUGAUAAUUUAUUAUGUAUUAUUAUUGUGCUUUAUUUUCUAUUUUACUUGUAUAUAGUAACAAAAAAGAGGUAAAAUUACUUUGAAUAUACUAGAGUGUCUGAGUGUAGCAAAAUUUAUGUCCUGUCCCAAAAACAUAUAUAUAUUUUUCCUGGAAUGACUGGAGUGACUGAAAAACUGUUUAAGGGAUACAGUUGCCAGGUAUGUUCAUUUGACCUAAAUAUCAAGAAAUAACUAAAUCCUCUUGGAAACUAUAGGUAUUUCAUAUUAGAGAAAUACAGGGCAGGUGAUCAGUGACUUUUGUUUAUGAUCACAUUGUGUCCACCGUAAUGGCUGCCCCCAUGUACUUGAAGGUUUUUUGUAUUUUUCUUCAAUUUUACAUCAUAUUUGAUUUGAUUUUACCUUUCAUGUUCCAGUCAACAACUUUCUGGUUCCAACGAUGUCUUAUUUUGCUAUGUGAGUGUUGCCGUUUUCCCAUUUACCCUGCAGAGAUUUUCGAAGCGGUGAUUUUUCUCUUGAAAUAGUGUGGUCACAUUGAGUCCCAAAUUCCAUAAAACACAUUUUAUGCAUCUUAACAGGUUCUUUAUUGAUGGAAAUUGAAUGAAAAUGCAUCUUAAUCAUGUAUUUUCCUUCACAUGCGACUUCUGAAUGCUUAUGCCUGUUUUCUACAACAUUCCAGGGAUUCAUGUCUGAAUGGUUACAUUACGUCAUGGUCACAUUGUGUCCAAUAAAUUUAGCAAAUUGUGUACAUAGCAAUUAAUUCCAAUCUUCUAUAUGUUAAUGAGUCUUUUAAACUGCUUUAGUGUUGCAAUUCAAUAAAGGUAUUAUAAAAGUACUAAAUAGGUUGUCAAACAGGCAGUAUGUAUACUUUCGGGCUUGUCACAUCAUGGCUAAAAGAAAAAAAUAAUCAUUUUUUUCGAGGGAAUGUGUCAUUUAUAUUUUUUCUGUAAGCUAAUUCCUGUUUUUACAUCAUUUUGAACCUUUAAUUGACAUUUUGUACCAUUUUCGAGAAGGCUUUUUGUAUUUACAGAAAAGUAAGUGAACCUUUUUACACUUUUCGUAAGAGUUAAAAUUGCCUAAUUUUGUGUCGCUCAACAGUCUUGACUAAACUUAUUCUGCAUUGUAUUUAGAAUCUUUUGGCAUCAUUUUCAAACUGUUUUCAUGCAAGUCUCCCAAAAUCCAUCAUCAUUGGCACACAUUUUUAAUUGUCUGUGUAUUCAAAUAUAUAUUGUCGCCACAGCAUUGAUCAGAUACGUUACCUUCAUCUGAUCCAUUACUAUGAAGUGAAACAAAUUUGAAAAUCUUAUCUUUAUUAAUAAUGUGCGCCCCUUACAUACAACAUUUAUAAUAUUAUAUUAAAUUUUGAUAAACAGAAUGUUACAUAACAAAAUCCACAUACAUUGUUGAUUUAUGCAUGAUUUCACAAUCAGCAAUCGACUUUUUUAUUUUCCCUUACAGAACAGAAGAAUCGCUGAUAAGCAUUUCACUAACAUGAAAUAUUUUAUCUUUACUUAUAUGGAAUUGAAAAGGAAGAACAAUUAAGGUGGUGAAACCAAAUACUAACUAGUACGUGAUAAACAGAUACAUUAUUCAGAAUGUCACAUAAUUCUGCGUUUUAGAAAUACAUAAGUGAUGGAAUUAAUAUCAUAUAAUCACUGAAGGGAUGUAAUGAAUGUUUAAGAAACAGUUGUACACCUCAAACAAAUUGUCACUAUCUGAGUCUGACCUUUGUGAGACCUCUGUACAACAUAGUGUAAUCAUAGCUACCGAUUGGCCUAUACCAACUGAGAGAUCUUAGACAUCAUGUAUGGCUGUAAGCACACAAAUUGACUCCAUUUAUAAUGUUCUUAAAAAUCAGAUACGUUAACUUUGGAUUUUAUAUCGAAAUCUGUAACAAAAAAAAAAUGUAUAAAAUCGUUGAGGCAAUUAAUUCUUAUAUCAAGCAGUCAUGUAUGGUUUCAUUUUUCAUUAUUAACAUUUUUAAUUAUUAACAUUUUUAUGCUUCCAUAUCUCAUGUUUUUAUUUCGAUGUAAAUGAGAUGUGGAACCAAAAUGUGUAGACCUGUUUGGCGCCAUAUAUCCUAUACUGUGUUGGUGCGCCGUAAAACCCAAAUAGAUAAAUAAAUAAGUAACAUUUUUAUGCAGUAAGUAUAUCUGUUUUAUAUAGUGUCAGUUACGUUAUAUUACUAAAUACCUCGUGUAUCAAUGCGUGCAUUCGUAGUGCAUAAAUAUAACACCUUGAACUGUGAUAUUGAUAAUACUAUAUAACGAUGUUUAAGCUGCUACUUGUGAUUAAGAUCUAGAAUUUACGUUACUAUAUUAAAUGCCAGGCUGUCAAACUUAUUUGACCUGCUGUAGGCUUCAAUUUUAUUUCUUCCUUUAACCUGAGAGCUUAGUUACCAUAAGCUUAGUUUGUAGAAAUGAAAACGUAAGACAUGCAUACACGGUUUUGUCAAAGAGAUCUGAAUAUGUCAAAUAAAAUGUUGUAUUUCAUUUAUAGAUGAUACUCAAAACAAUGUCCUAUAUUAAAAAGAGCUUGAUAGUAACGUAUCAGUUUUUGGAAUUCUGAUGUUAAUUCCAUCACUUUUGCAUCCCUAAAGCACAGAACACAUUCCGAAUUUAAAAUAUCUUUAAAGUAUCAGUUCCUCACGUAUCUCGUUUCAACAUCUAAAUUCUACUUCCUUUUAUAUUUCUUCAUGUAGGUGAAAUGUUUAUUGCUGAUUGUGGAAAUAAUGCAUCAAUUAUUCAAUAAUGUAUGUGGAUUCUGUUAUUGAUUUCUAGUAACCGAUGAUACUGUUUAUCAAAAUUUCAUAUUAUAAAUGUUGUAUGUAAUGGGUGCACAUUAUUAAUAAAGAUAAUGUUUUUCACAUUUUUUCACUUAAUAGUAAUUUAACAGAAUCUGAUGAAGGUAACGUAUCUAUUAACACUUAGAGGAAUAAGUGUAAAAAAGGGUUCAUUUACUUUUCCAUCAAUACAAAAAGACUUCUCUGGUACAAAAUGUUAAUUAAAGGCCUAAACUGAUGUAAAAACAGGAACUAGCUUACAGAAAAAAAAUUGAUACUUUAUCUAAAAAAAUAAUUAUUUUUCCUUUUAGCCAAUAAUUAUGUGACAAGCCUGAAAGUACUGCUGGACUACCUGUUUAGUACUUAUAUGUAUACCUUUAUUGAAUUCAACACAAAAACACUUAAAAAGACUCACUAUCAUAUAGAAGAUUGGAAUUAAUUGCUAUGUACACAAUUUACUAAAUUUAUCGGGCACAAUGUGACCAUGACGUAAU
rnacentral:misc_RNA from 1 species